rnacentral:sRNA from 1 species
AUUCCAUUCAGUAGUCCCGGACGAAUUAGAAUUUAACGUACGGUUUGGACAUAAUGGAGAAAUAAAAUAUUGCUCUUUUUGCAGCGGAGCUGAACUUUAUGUUCUCUUUGCUAGCCAUAAGUGUAAAACAAUA